rnacentral:rRNA from 1 species
UGAAUACGAGACGCUAAGGCGUCGAAGUAGUGUAUGUCAUACUUCCAAGAAAAGCUUGCACUGUCAUAGAUAAAAAACGCCUGUACCAUAACCGACACAGGUGGGUAGGUAGAGUAUACUAAGGGGCGCGAGAUAACUCUCUCUAAGGAACUCGGCAAAAUAACUCCGUAACUUCGGGAGAAGGAGUGCCUUAUUCGUAAGGUUGCAAUAACAAGAUCCAAGCAACUGUUUAUCAAAAACACAGGUCUCCGCUAAGUCGUAAGACGAUGUAUGGGGGCUGACGCCUGCCCAGUGCCAGAAGGUUAAAGAAGUUGGUUAGCAAUUGCGAAGCUGAUAACUGAAGCCCUGGUGAACGGCGGCCGUAACAAUAACGGUCCUAAGGUAGCGAAAUUCCUUGUCGGGUAAGUUCCGACCCGCACGAAAGGCGUAAUGAUUUGGAUACUGUCUCGGAGAGGGGCUCGGUGAAAUAGACUUGUCUGUGAAGAUGCGGACUACCUGCACCAGGACAGAAAGACCCUAUGAAGCUUUACUGUAACUUGAAAUUGAAAUUGGACUUUAUUCGCGCAGUAUAGGUGGGAGGCGUUGAUUAUAAUCUUGUGGGAUUAUUGGAGCCAUCAGUGAGAUACCACUCUUGUAAUGUUAGAUUUCUAACUUUGAAUCAUUAUCUGGUCAAAGAACAGUUUCAGGCGGGCAGUUUGACUGGGGCGGUCGCCUCCUAAACGGUAACGGAGGCGUACAAAGGUUUCCUCUGAACGGUUAGAAAUCGUAUCUAGAGUGUAAAGGCAUAAGGAAGCUUGACUGUGAGACCUACAAGUCGAGCAGGGACGAAAGUCGGUCUUAGUGAUCUGACGGUACUGAGUGGAAAGGCCGUCACUCAACGGAUAAAAGUUACUCUAGGAUAACAGGCUGAUCUCCCCCAAGAGUUCACAUCGACGGGGAGGUUUGGCACCUCGAUGUCGGCUCAUCGCAUCCUGGGGCGGUAGUACGUCCCAAGGGUUGGGCUGUUCGCCCAUGAAAGCGGUACGCGAGCUGGGUUCAGAACGUCGUGAGACGGUUCGGUCCAUAUCCGGUGUAGGCGUUAGAAUAUUGAGAGGAGCCUUCUUUAGUACGAGAGGACCGAGAAGGACAUACCUCUGGUGUACCAGUUAUCGUGCCAACGGUAAACGCUGGGUAGCUAUGUAUGGAGUGGAUAACCGCUGAAAGCAUCUAAGUGGGAAGCCCACCUCAAGAUAAGUAUUCUC